rfam:Triticum aestivum genome assembly, contig: Triticum_aestivum_CS42_TGACv1_scaffold_393087_5AS
CAGCAAUGAGGAACGAAACCUGUGCUGUAGGCGGAUGCGCCGAUGUUGGUAACACAACCCUCUAAGAACUUCUGAGCCC